CACGUAGGGGACGAGCGUUGUCCGGAUUCAUUGGGCGUAAAGCGCACGUAGGCGGAUCAGUCAGUCAGGGGUGAAAUCCCGGGGCUCAACCCCGGAACUGCCUUUGAUACUGCUGGUCUGGAGGUCGAGAGAGGCGAGUGGAAUUCCGAGUGUAGAGGUGAAAUUCGUAGAUAUUCGGAGGAACACCAGUGGCGAAGGCGGCUCGCUGGCUCGAUACUGACGCUGAGGUGCGAAAGCGUGGGGAGCAAACAGG
rnacentral:rRNA from 1 species